CCCUUAGAUGUUCUGGGCCGCACGCGCGCUACACUGACUGGUGCAACAAGUGUCGCUCCUUGGCCGAUAGGCCUGGGCAAUCUUUGAACGCCAGUCGUGAUGGGGAUAGAUUCUUGCAAUUUUUGAUCUUCAACGAGGAAUUCCUAGUAAACGCGAGUCAUCAACUUGCAUUGAUUACGUCCCUGCCCUUUGUACACACCGCCCGUCGCACCUACCGAUUGAAUGGUCCGGUGAAGCCUCCGGAUUGGCGCGCACCUCGGUGCCGCCGAGAAGUUGGCUAAACCUUACCAUUUAGAGGAAGGUGAAGUCGUAACA
rnacentral:rRNA from 1 species